rnacentral:lncRNA from 1 species
AUUUUGUAUAUAUUAAAAUAUAAAAUCACAUGGAUCUACUUCAUAUGCUGAAAUUGAUAUAUAUUGAAAUUUAGAUUGUGAUCAAAUCACAUACCUGUUUCGUAAUUCUUUCUUCAAAUCUGGAUCUAGAAGAGAUGAGGAUCUUUGUUAGUCAUACAAGUAUCUGACCUCCGUGAGUAUCCACUCAGGAUCAGCCUGAAACAGCCCCCUACAAUCUGAAUUUUGAAUCUCCAAAAUUCAGCCUGCUGAAUCUGAAUGAAGCCU